rnacentral:lncRNA from 1 species
GGAGCUGCCACUGCAGAGACGCUGGCUUAGGGGGCUGGGGGAUGCCUCCUUUGAAUUCUGGGCCCACCACUGACAACACUUCUCUUCUUGGAGAAAAGAUGACGAGAAGGAGAGGUCUUAGAACACAUCCUUAUCUGAAGGACAGGAUACAGUCUUGUUUUAGGAAACUCCAGCUGCUCUGUGUCAUUGAAAGGGAAGAGGAGAGACCAGAUGGUCCAAGUUCGCCAUGGCACUGGUAAGGACCUGAGACUGACUGCAGGCCCUUCAUGAAAGCAAAGCCUGGGUGUGUUAUAACCGCCAGUCCCACUCUCCCACAGUGAGGUCCAUCCCGGCAGGGGCUGAGUCCACCUUGACCACUGAGACAAACAGACCUGGUGAUGGACUCAGUGUUUUUAAAUUGUGGAGCUUGGACAGGGAGGGGCGAGAUGGAGAACGAGGUAUACACAAAAGAGAACAAUGUGAUGAGGGCAUGAAGUGUGCUUACCAACCUUCCCUCACUCAGAGGCUGGAAGAGAUUUUAGAGCUUAACAGAAAAAGAGUGGGAAGAGGACACUGCUGGGCAAAAGACAUGAACUAAAGACUUCUCGGCUGUCCCCAUCAGUGGCACGGUGGUCUCAGCAGUACCGAUGUGGAUACUCAAGAACGUGAGGCUACCGUGGAAAUGCUUUGCUUAAACCACACGUUGAGUUUCCAAGGAGUGAAGAUCCCCAGGGAAAGCAUCUAGGACCCUGCCAUGUUGGCCCAGCUCUGGGAAGUCAAUCGACGUGGACCCCUUACUGUGUUAACUGCUAAUCAGCCUUCUGUAAAAAUGAUAUUGCAAAUUCA